UACGGAGGGUGCGAGCGUUGUCCGGAAUCAUUGGGCGUAAAGAGCUCGUAGGCUGUUCGAUAAGUCGGGUGUGAAACCUCCAGGCUCAACCUGGAGACGCCACCCGAUACUGUCAUGACUAGAGUCCGGUAGGGGAGCGUGGAAUUCCUGGUGUAGCGGUGAAAUGCGCAGAUAUCAGGAGGAACACCGGUGGCGAAGGCGGGUCUCUGGGCCGUAACUGACGCUGAGGAGCGAAAGCGUGGGGAGCGAACAGG
rnacentral:rRNA from 1 species